GGGGCUGACUUGGAUUUCGACAGAUUUCUUGUCGCACAGAUAGCAUGCCAAGCGCUGCUUGUAAAACAGCAACAAAAAUAACUGUAAACAACGCAGAUUACGCUCCAGCUUACGCUAAAGCUGCGUGAGUUAAUCUCCUUUUGGAGCUGGACUGAUUAGAAUUUCUAGCGUUUUAAUCACUCCAUAACCUUAAGCUAGACGCUUUUAAAAGGUGGUUCGCCUUUUAAACUAAGAAACAAGAACUCUUGAAACUAUCUCAAGGUUUUAGAAAAUUGGACCAGAGCUAGUUUUAAGGCUAAAAACUAACCAAUUUUCUAAGCAUUGUAGAAGUUUGUGUUUAGGGCAAGAUUUUUGGACUGGGGUUCGAUUCCCCACAGCUCCACCA
rnacentral:tmRNA from 1 species